rnacentral:rRNA from 1 species
GACGAACGCUGGCGGCGUGCUUAACACAUGCAAGUCGAACGGUAAGGCUCCAGCUUGCUGGGGUACACGAGUGGCGAACGGGUGAGUAACACGUGGGUGACCUGCCCUGCACUUCGGGAUAAGCCUGGGAAACCGGGUCUAAUACCGGAUAGGACCGCACCGUGAGGGUGUGGUGGAAAGUUUUUUCGGUGUGGGAUGGGCCCGCGGCCUAUCAGCUUGUUGGUGGGGUAAUGGCCUACCAAGGCGGCGACGGGUAGCCGGCCUGAGAGGGUGGACGGCCACAUUGGGACUGAGACACGGCCCAGACUCCUACGGGAGGCAGCAGUGGGGAAUAUUGCACAAUGGGCGGAAGCCUGAUGCAGCGACGCCGCGUGGGGGAUGACGGCCUUCGGGUUGUAAACUCCUUUCACCAUCGACGAAGGGUUUCUGACGGUAGAUGGAGAAGAAGCACCGGCUAACUACGUGCCAGCAGCCGCGGUAAUACGUAGGGUGCGAGCGUUGUCCGGAAUUACUGGGCGUAAAGAGCUCGUAGGUGGUUUGUCGCGUCGUCUGUGAAAUUCCGGGGCUUAACUCCGGGCGUGCAGGCGAUACGGGCAUAACUUGAGUACUGUAGGGGAGACUGGAAUUCCUGGUGUAGCGGUGAAAUGCGCAGAUAUCAGGAGGAACACCGGUGGCGAAGGCGGGUCUCUGGGCAGUAACUGACGCUGAGGAGCGAAAGCAUGGGGAGCGAACAGGAUUAGAUACCCUGGUAGUCCAUGCCGUAAACGGUGGGCGCUAGGUGUGGGUUUCCUUCCACGGGAUCCGUGCCGUAGCUAACGCAUUAAGCGCCCCGCCUGGGGAGUACGGCCGCAAGGCUAAAACUCAAAGGAAUUGACGGGGGCCCGCACAAGCGGCGGAGCAUGUGGAUUAAUUCGAUGCAACGCGAAGAACCUUACCUGGGCUUGACAUAUACAGGAUCGCGCCAGAGAUGGUGUUUCCCUUGUGGCUUGUAUACAGGUGGUGCAUGGUUGUCGUCAGCUCGUGUCGUGAGAUGUUGGGUUAAGUCCCGCAACGAGCGCAACCCUUGUCUUAUGUUGCCAGCACGUUGUGGUGGGGACUCGUAAGAAACUGCCGGGGUUAACUCGGAGGAAGGUGGGGAUGACGUCAAAUCAUCAUGCCCCUUAUGUCCAGGGCUUCACACAUGCUACAAUGGUCGGUACAGUGGGUUGCCAGUCCGUGAGGGCGAGCUAAUCCCGCAAAGCCGGUCUCAGUUCGGAUCGGGGUCUGCAACUCGACCCCGUGAAGUCGGAGUCGCUAGUAAUCGCAGAUCAGCAACGCUGCGGUGAAUACGUUCCCGGGCCU